ensembl:lncRNA
AGCUAUUCACUUUAAGAGAGAUAAAGCUAGCUAUUCACUUUAAAAGAGAUGAAGCUAGUCACUUUGAGAGAGAGAGAUGAAGCGAGCUAUUCACUUUAAGAGAGAUGAAGCUAGUUAUUCACUUUAAGAGAGAUGAAGCUAUUCACUUUAAGAGAGCUGAAGCUAUUCACUUUAAGAGAGAUAAAGCUAGUCACUUUGAGAGAGAGAUGAAGCUAGCUAUUCUUGCAGCCGUAGUCAAUUGCCCUCCUGAGGCUAGAGUGAACCAGAUGUUCUUCCUACAGUGAGGAGCCCCGGGCCCCUACACUCUGUCCGAGCUGUCAGACUGUCUAUCCAGAAUGGUUAUUGCCUACUGUGGGAAUGGGUUCUUAUCUAUUGUACGAUCUACACCAAUUGUACACCAGGUUUUUUUUAUUGCUCUUAACUUGACUGUUCUCUCCCUUGUACGUCGCUUUGGACAAAAGCGUCUGCUAAAUGACUAAAUGUAAAUGUAAAUGUAAAAUCAUCUGCUUUCCCUCUGAUUCUCACCGCCGUUUUCUUCCCUGCCUUCCUGUCCACUUCCUGUCCACUUCCUGGCGGUCUCUCUACCAGGCCGUCCUCAGGCAGGUGGGUGCCCCCUUUUGACCCGGGUUCUAUAUGUUUAUAGUAUUUCUAUGCCAGUCAGGAGGGGAAUGAUAUAAAACUCAUAUAAAUAAAUAAAAAACUGUAAAUGUGAAGUUCAGUUGGGGUCAUCUCCAGAUCCACACACACAGGCCAAUCCAACACACACACAGGCCAAUCCAACACACACACAGGCCAAUCCAAUCCAAUCCGCACACACAGGCCAAUCCAAUCCACACACACAGGCCGUAGAGCAGAGUAAGAGGCAUUUAUCACUCCAACUCUUGUGUGUCUUUCCGAAGCCUGGAUUGAAUUCAUUUCAAAUCCUUCACCUUUUACAUCCAAUUUCCAAAGCUACACAACCUGUUCUACUUGUCAGACUGUGCAGAGCCCCAGCCACUGAUUCCUCUGCCUUUGUCCAGCCUGGUUCUCAACACAGACUAAGUGCUUAUUGUGGGAGACGAACACAAAAUCAUAGUCCUCGAAAAGCCUUUCUAUCCCUGAUUAAAAUAAAUCGCUUUUUCUCACAAUGAGAAACAUCUAUAUAUCGCUAUAACCACACCUUUGAGGUGACUAUUGACAUAUAUAGCAAACAAAUCUAGCAGCUCUACCACAAAACCCUAAAAGAGUGUGUGUGUUUUUGUGUGUGUGUGUGUGUGCGAAACUCACGUGUCGUAAGUGAGUUUGUUGUUGAGUGUGUUCACAGAGCUCUGACACGUCUGCAGCUCUUUCUGAAGUGCUCCCGAAUCAGCCAAUAAAGACUUCAGUUGGCCUAGGGAGAUACAAGAACACAAGAAUCAGCCAAUAAAGACUUCAGUUGGCCUAGGGAGAUACAAGAACACAAGGAAGACAGACAGAGUGUGAUUACAAGCCAUUCACAGUGUGUUUCGUGCACUUCACAGUGUGUUUUGUGCACUUCACAGUGUGUUUCGUGCACAUUUACACAAGUAGCUAUGCCUGGAAAGGUAGCAGGUGUAGGCUGCAGCGGUAAACAUUGCUAAUGAGAUUUCACAAAUCUAGAGGGGAAUUGCCUCAGUGGACCAACAGGUCUGGUGUCACAUGAGUAGAUUUCAUUGUUCCAUAAGCGCAGUUAAAAGUAAAAUAUCUGGGCUCAGGUUUUGUGUGUGUCUGUGUGUGUGUGUGUGUGUGUGUG